rnacentral:rRNA from 1 species
UACGUAGGCAGCGAGCGUUGUUCGGAGUUACUGGGCGUAAAGGGUGUGUAGGCGGUUGUUUAAGUUUGGUGUGAAAUCUCCCGGCUCAACUGGGAGGGUGCGCCGAAUACUGAAUGACUUGGAGUGCGGGAGAGGAGAGUGGAAUUCCUGGUGUAGCGGUGAAAUGCGUAGAUAUCAGGAGGAACACCGGUGGUGUAGACGGCUCUCUGGACCACUUCUGACGCUGAGACACGAAAGCGUGGGUAGCAAACAGG